UGUCUAGGGGGUCUGAGAGGAUGAUCCCCCACACUGGUACUGAGACACGGACCAGACUCCUACGGGAGGCAGCAGUAAGGAAUAUUGGGCAAUGGAGGAAACUCUGACCCAGCCAUGCCGCGUGCAGGAUUGACAGCUCUAGUAGUUGUAAACUGCUUUUAUAUGGGAAGAAAAGCAUCUACGUGUAGGUGUCUGACGGUACCAUAAGAAUAAGGACCGGCUAACUCCGUGCCAGCAGCCGCGGUAAUACGGAGGGUCCAAGCGUUAUCCGGAUUUAUUGGGUUUAAAGGGUGUGUAGNCGGAAAUAUAAGUCAGUGGUGAAAUCCUGCAGCUUAACUGCAGAACUGCCGCUGAAACUGUGUUUCUUGAGUAUAGUUGAAGUGGGCGGAAUGUGUCAUGUAGCGGUGAAAUGCAUAGAUAUGACACAGAACACCGAUUGCGAAGGCAGCUCACUAAACUAUUACUGACGCUGAGGCACGAAAGCGUGGGUAGCGAACAGGAUUAGAUACCCUGGUAGUCCACGCCGUAAACGAUGAUUACUCGAUGUUGGCGAUACACUGUCAGCGUCCAAGCGAAAGUGUUAAGUAAUCCACCUGGGGAGUACGGUCGCAAGAUUGAAACUCAAAGGAAUUGACGGGGGCCCGCACAAGCGGAGGAACAUGUGGUUUAAUUCGAUGAUACGCGAGGAACCUUACCUGGGCUUAAAUGUAAGAUGACAGAUUGAGAAAUCAGUCCUUCUUCGGACAUUUUACAAGGUGCUGCAUGGCUGUCGUCAGCUCGUGCCGUGAGGUGUCGGGUUAAGUCCCAUAACGAGCGCAACCCCUAUCUCUAGUUGCCAGCGAGUAAUGUCGGGGACUCUAGAGAACUGCCUACGCAAGUAGUGAGGAAGGUGGGGAUGACGUCAAGUCAGCACGGCCCUUA
rnacentral:rRNA from 1 species